CCUAAAGCGUCAAAGUUGAGCUCAAAAGUUGAUAGCAACUCACAUGUGCUGCAGAGGAACUUUUGACACAAUCCCACAGGAUUGACUCAGAAGUGGCUGCAUGACUCUUGAGCACCUCCCUGGCUUCUCACACCUCCUCUAUCAGCUGUUGGACUUCAACAAAUACAAAGACAGGACAAGGGGAAUGCCUCCCUGGCAGCCAGGGUUUUAGGCCCAGCUGCAAAUUGAGAGAAUAACAGCAAGAACAACUCAGGGCUAAAGGAAAAGAUCUGCUCAGUGUCUCUGAUUUUGGAGCCACAGACCCAACAAAGUUCGUACUCGGUGCAGCUCUGAGAAGGUGGUGCUACCAGGCUCUAAAAAGGAAAUUUUAAAAUUCUUCAGUGGAGAAGAAAGAUGUCUCCUAGGUGAAUUUCUACCCCUUUCCCAGGAUGGUGAAUUCAUAGUUGCAAACAAAUCUUAAGAUUUCUUCCAUUUUAGUUUUGUGGUAGAUCACAAAUUAUAGACUCUAAACUUUAUAGAGAUUUAAUUCUGGUGAAUCUUUUCCAUCUACCCUCCAUGAUUCAGACACCAGUCUCUUUGGCAAUGCUAAAAGCUAGACUCUUGGGACCCAAUUAUGUUGGGAUAAAGGUUUUAUUAGCUUGAUAUUAGCUUCUUUUCUAAAGUCAGUAAGUGUAGGGUCAGUGCUAUGAUAUUCUGACAUGUCCUAUUAACUCUCUGGAUUCUUUUACAUAGUGUAUUUGUCCACUCUGGCUGCUAUAACAAAAAUACCAUAGACAGUAGCUUAUGAACAGCAGAAAUUUAUU
ensembl:lncRNA